UCCAGGUGAUUUCCUAGGGGCUGUUCAGU
rnacentral:piRNA from 1 species